GGUUCUAUAGUGUAAAUAACAUAUUAGAUUGCAAAUCUUAAGAUACGACUAAAUUCCGUUAGGACUU
rnacentral:tRNA from 1 species